GGGGGUGUAGCUUAGUGAUAGAGCAUUUGCCUAGCAUGCAAACCCUUAGGUUAGAUCCCUAGCACCACCA
rnacentral:tRNA from 1 species